UCAUUCCAGGGGGGCAGCAGUGAGGAAUAUUGGUCAAUGGGAGGAAUCCUGAACCAGCCAUGCCGCGUGCAGGACGACGGCUCUACGAGUUGUAAACUGCUUUUGUACCGGGGUAAAAUGCCUUACGAGUAGGGUUUUGAAAGUACGGUACGAAUAAGGAUCGGCUAACUCCGUGCCAGCAGCCGCGGUAAUACGGAGGAUCCGAGCGUUAUCCGGAUUCAUUGGGUUUAAAGGGUGCGUAGGUUGUUUCAUAAGUUAGCGGUGAAAUACCGAUGCUCAACAUCGGGGCUGCCGCUGAUACUGUG
rnacentral:rRNA from 1 species